UACAGAGGUCUCAAGCGUUGUUCGGAUUCAUUGGGCGUAAAGGGUGUGUAGGCGGCGCCGUAAGUCGGGUGUGAAAUUUCGGAGCUUAACUCCGAAACUGCAUUCGAUACUGCGGUGCUUGAGGACUGGAGAGGAGACUGGAAUUCAUGGUGUAGCAGUGAAAUGCGUAGAGAUCAUGAGGAAGACCAGUGGCGAAGGCGGGUCUCUGGACAGUUCCUGACACUGAGACACGAAGGCCAGGGGAGCAAACAGG
rnacentral:rRNA from 1 species